AUGUGCACCACAUCAUCAGUGAUGAUGGAAAAGACGUGUGAGUCUCUCACUUCCCUGAGGGUUUCUUCCCUAAUACAGCUCUCACAGAUCUCUAGCAUCUGUUUCUGCUGUGUUUUUGAACAGAACAGUGUGUUAACGGCUGUGGUCUCAAAGCGCUUUCUCAGAACCUCUUCACCAGAAUUUAUCCGGCACUCCAACAAAGCUUGGAAGUUAUCAGGUGUAAACAGACCUUCCGGGAUUUCGUCGGUCUCAUGCCCAUCCAGAGGUAUGUUUUGUUUUCCCAUAAGAAUCAAAAUUUCAAAUAGAGACUUUAAGUAUUCUUUGUUUUCCUUCCCUUCAAGGGUUAAAGGUAAAAUGUCUUCAUCCUGUUCAUCCCCCUGAACUUUGGCACUGGGAUUCUGAGCAUUGCUAUUGUUUGUUUCUUUAUGCUUCUGUUCCUGUUCAAAAGUUUCAUCAAUUUUUUUCUGUUUCAGUGUCCUGAUUUCAUCUUAAUUCAAUUCUUUUAUUCGUUUUCUGUGUCUAUGUGGAUUAUUCAAAUGACUGAUAAGAUCAAACAUUGUUGGUAUUGCAUUGUCUCGAAGAAGGGUCUUAUCAGGACUAGUUCUACAGAUCAUAGAGGUCUUGAAGUGUUUGGCACACAGCCAAUAUUGUUUAUUUAGCUGAUCAGGUGUUUUAUCUUCUAAGUCUGCUCUCCUACAAUUCUCCACCCACUUCUGGCAUCUGGCUGGAUCCCACAGAAACCUGAAGAAGGCCAGGUUGGAGUUCACACUCUUCAGUGUGCAGUUGGCGGCCUCGCAUAAGCUCCGCAUCUUCACCCGCCCUCUGGCCCCCCUCCCUGCCUCCUCAGGGCCGCCUGCCUGCCCGCCUGUUGGGGCCAGGGAGGGGCCGGGCGGCUCCGCAGGGCCCAAGUGUGGGGACCAGUAUUUUAUUAUCUACAUGAGGUUGAAUCAAAUACCAUUAACUAACUUCAUCAUUCAACUCCACUGU
rnacentral:lncRNA from 1 species